UAUUGGACAAUGGGCGAAAGCCUGAUCCAGCCAUGCCGCGUGUGUGAAGAAGGUCUUCGGAUUGUAAAGCACUUUAAGUUGGGAGGAAGGGCAUUAACCUAAUACGUUAGUGUUUUGACGUUACCGACAGAAUAAGCACCGGCUAACUCUGUGCCAGCAGCCGCGGUAAUACAGAGGGUGCAAGCGUUAAUCGGAAUUACUGGGCGUAAAGCGCGCGUAGGUGGUUUGUUAAGUUGGAUGUGAAAUCCCCGGGCUCAACCUGGGAACUGCAUUCAAAACUGACUGACUAGAGUAUGGUAGAGGGUGGUGGAAUUUCCUGUGUAGCGGUGAAAUGCGUAGAUAUAGGAAGGAACACCAGUGGCGAAGGCGACCACCUGGACUAAUACUGACACUGAGUGCGAA
rnacentral:rRNA from 1 species